CGCCUGGGGAGUGCGGCCGCAAGGUUAAAACUCAAAUGAAUUGACGGGGGCCCGCACAAGCGGUGGAGCAUGUGGUUUAAUUCGACGCAACGCGAAGAACCUUACCUGGCCUUGACAUCCAGAGAGCUUUCCAGAGAUGGAUUGGUGCCUUCGGGAACUCUGAGACAGGUGCUGCAUGGCCGUCGUCAGCUCGUGUCGUGAGAUGUUGGGUUAAGUCCCGUAACGAGCGCAACCCCUAUCCCUGGUUGCUAGCAGGUAAUGCUGAGAACUCCAGGGAGACUGCCGGUGACAAACCGGAGGGAGGUGGGGAUGACGUCAGGUCAUCAUGGCCCUUACGGCCAGGGCUACACACGUGCUACAAUGGCGCGUACAGAGGGCUGCCAACUCGCGAGAGUGAGCCAAUCCCUUAAAACGCGUCGUAGUCCGGAUCGGAGUCUGCAACUCGACUCCGUGAAGUCGGAAUCGCUAGUAAUCGCGAAUCAGAAUGUCGCGGUGAAUACGUUCCCGGGCCUUGUACACACCGCCCGUCACACCAUGGGAGUGGAUUGCACCAGAAGUAGUUAGUCUAACCUUCGGGAGGACGAUUACCACGGUGUGGUUCAUGACUGGGGUGAAGUCGUAACAAGGUAACCGUA
rnacentral:rRNA from 1 species